rnacentral:precursor_RNA from 14 species
UUUGUAGCUUGCUGUCAGAAAGUCUGUGUCUGUAAACAUCCCCGACUGGAAGCUGUAAGCCACAGCCAAGCUUUCAGUCAGAUGUUUGCUGCUACUGGCUCUUCGCAUGCAUCUUUUGGACA